AAUUCAGGCAACCAGCAAGAAACUAAACUUGAUGUUGUUCUUGGCUCAGUAUUUGGAACCUUAGCCUUCAUUUCCGGAUUUUUGGUUGCACUGGUUGCAUAUAGAAAGUGCAGCAAGAAACACAAGGUGGGAUCUAAGGAAAAAAGCGCCAACCUGUGUAUUGAAAGUAACGGCCUCCCAAGGGUAUUCAUCAUUGACAAAGAUGGACGUUUCAAAACAGCUUAAUCAAAAGCGAACUUUGACAAUAUGUUAUUCUUAUAUAACGAUAACAACAGAUUUGUAUACACGUGCAGCGCUUUAUUACAAAGUCUCCACACCUAUUACUUGUCUCUUUUACAUGAAUUAAUAUUGACUCUAACAAAUGUUCCUCAACAAAUAAUAAAAAGUGUAAUCACCUUGUUUACGUUGUAUACAUAAUGAUUAAUGACCUAUUGGAAAAUAUAAAUAUUGCAAGAAGCUCACAUAUAUUUAAAUGUAUUGACUACCAAACAAUUCCGAAGCAUCAAUCGUAUCAUGUGCACUUAUAUUCCGUUAUCAAUAAAACAAGUUUGUUUGA